GUUAUUCUAUUUCUUACAUAUGAACCCCAAGACAAAUCUCAAUGAUUAUCAGGAAAUGAACAAUUCUAAAAUUAUCUACAUAAUGAGCAUCAGGAAUUGAACCAAUUCUAAAUUAUCUACAUUAACAGGCAAGAAAUUUUAUAAAUGAAAGCUAGAAAACCGUCAAGGCAUUUUCUUAUCACCAUAAACAGCCUUAUUAACCCAUAACUGUAUAAGUAUAUGCACACAUCACACAAACAUGCAUAUAUAA
rnacentral:misc_RNA from 1 species